UGCCGGGUCGUCUAAUGGUAGGACAUCGCCCUUUGGAGGCGGUAAUGAGGGUUCGAUUCCUUCCCCGGCAG
rnacentral:tRNA from 1 species